CUGCUGUAAACAUUAAUCCAACAGGAAACUCAAAUGUCAGACGGAUAUUAUGACGGCAGGUUGGACAGAAACUCACCGCGGCUCUCCGUCUCCAUGUUUCCCUGCGGUUUUUCCUCUCUGCUCCUCCUGCAGCAACCUGACACAUGAACUCACAGCCGCAGUUUAUUUACUUCUGAAGGACGCUCCUGAUUGGCUGCUCCCUGGUCAGCUGACAAAGGCCGAACCCGGAACAGAUCUUCAGGACGGAUGGCUGUCAACACGCCGCUUUCUUCUGACCAG